rnacentral:rRNA from 1 species
AAGCAGAGGGGGCUUAGUGGUGGGGUGACUGCGUACCUUUUGUAUAAUGGGUCAGCGACUUAUAUUCUGUAGCAAGGUUAACCGCAUAGGGGAGCCGGAGGGAAACCGAGUCUUAAUUGGGCGUUAAGUUGCAGGGUAUAGACCCGAAACCCGGUGAUCUAGCCAUGGGCAGGUUGAAGGUUGGGUAACACUAACUGGAGGACCGAACCGACUAAUGUUGAAAAAUUAGCGGAUGACCUGUGGCUGGGGGUGAAAGGCCAAUCAAACCGGGAGAUAGCUGGUUCUCCCCGAAAGCUAUUUAGGUAGCGCCUCGUGAAUUCAUCUCCGGGGGUAGAGCACUGUUUCGGCUAGGGGGCCAUCCCGGCUUACCAACCCGAUGCAAACUGCGAAUACCGGAGAAUGUUAUCACGGGAGACACACGGCGGGUGCUAACGUCCGUCGUGAAGAGGGAAACAACCCAGACCGCCAGCUAAGGUCCCAAAGUCAUGGUUAAGUGGGAAACGAUGUGGGAAGGCCCAGACAGCCAGGAUGUUGGCUUAGAAGCAGCCAUCAUUUAAAGAAAGCGUAAUAGCUCACUGGUCGAGUCGGCCUGCGCGGAAGAUGUAACGGGGCUAAACCAUGCACCGAAGCUGCGGCAGCGACGCUUAUGCGUUGUUGGGUAGGGGAGCGUUCUGUAAGCCUGUGAAGGUGGCCUGUGAGGGUUGCUGGAGGUAUCAGAAGUGCGAAUGCUGACAUAAGUAACGAUAAAGCGGGUGAA